GUUCAAAUGAGGAAUGGAUUACGGUGGAUACCUAGGCACCCAGAGACAAGGAAGGGCAUGGUAAGAAACAAAAUGCUUCGGGGAGUUGAAAAUGAGCAUAGAUUUCGGAGAUUCUCAAAUAGGUUAACCUUUUUAACUUCUUAUUAAUCCAUAGGCAGGCAAGAGACAACCUAGUGAACUGAAACAUCUUAGUAGCCAGAGGAAUAGAAAGAAAAAUUGAUUCCCGUAGUAGUGGCGAGCGAAAUGGGAGCAACCUAAACUGUGAAACGGGGUUGUGGGAGAGCACAAUAUAAGCUAUGUGCUGCUAGGCGAAGCGGUUGAGUCCUGCACCCUAGAGUCCAGUAGCCAAAAGAAUCAUUGGGUUACUCUCUAACCCGAGUAGCAUGGGGCAUGUGGAAUCCCGUGUGAAUCAUCAAGGACCACCUUGCAAGGCUAAAUACUCCUGGGUGACCGAUAGAGAAGUAGUACCAUGAGGGAAAGGUGAAAAGAACCCCCAUCGGGGAGUGAAAUAGAACAUGAAACCAUAAGCUCCCAAGAAGUGGGAGGAAUAUGAUAUCUCUGACUGCGUGCCUAUUAAAGAAUGAGCCGGUGACUUAUAGGAAGUGGCUUGGUUAAGGGAACCCACCGGAGCUGUAGCGAGAGAGAUUCUUCAUGGGGAAAUUGUCACUGCUUAUGGACCCAAACCUGGGUGAUCUAUCCAUGACCAGGAUGAAGCUUGGGUGAAACUAAGUGGAGGUAUAAACCGACUGAUGUUGAAAAUCAGUGGAUGAGUCAUGGUUAGGGGUUAAAUUCCACUCGAACCCAGAGCUAGUUGGUUCUCCCUGAAAUGAGUUGAGGCGCAGUAGUUGACUAGACCAUCUAGGGGUAAAGUAUUGUUUCGGUACGGGCCGCGAGAGCGGUACCAAAUCGAGGAAAAAUAUGAAUACUAGAUUGCCCCAAUAAAAGGGGUAAAGGUCAACUAGUGAGACGAUCGGGGAUAAGCUUCAUCGUCGAGAGGGAAACAACCCAGAUCAUUAGAUAAAUCCCCUAAAUGACCGCUCAAUGAUGAAGGAAGUACGAGUGCAAAGACAGCCAGGAGGUUUUCCUAGAAGCAUCCAACCUUGAAAGAGUGCGUAAUAGCUCACUGAUCGAGUGCUCUUGUGCCUAAGAUGAACAGGACUAAGCGAUCUACUGAAGCUAUGGGAUGUAAAAAUACAUCGGUAGGGGAGCAUCCCGCCUUAGAGGGAAGCACCGGUGUGAGAAGGUGUGGACGAAGUGGAAGCAAUAAUGUCAGCUUGAGUAACACAAACAUUGGUGAGAAUCCGAUGCCCCAAAAACCUAAGGGGUCCUCCGCAAGGUUCAUCCACGGAGGGUGAGUCAGGGCCUAAGAUCAGGCCGAAAGGUGUAGUUGAUGGAAAACAGGUUAAUAUUCCUGUACUACCCCUUGUUGGUCCCGAGGGAUGGAGGAGGCUAGGUUAGCCAAAAUAUGGUUAUCGGUUCAAGGACACAAGGUGACCCUCUAUACAUUGAUUCAAAGGUAAAAUAAGAAUCAAAUAUAGGUGUGUACAAGGUGAGGUUGGGGGUGGAUAUUCCUCAUCAUCUACUCUAGCACACAAAAAUCCAAGAUGGCUUAUCCAAACAUUAUAAGAUGCACAAAAUCAUGUAGGAGUGCCCAUAUAAUCAAUGAGGGUGAGUAUACCUCCUAGGAGAUAUGUUAACCAUAUUGUAUUAGAUUCUUCCAUUUAUGAUAUUUACAAUUGUUUUGAGGAGGUGAUGUGUGAUACUUUGUUGGAUGAGUGUGAUGUUUGGGGGGUAGUUCCUUUCUAGGAGCCAGUGGUUGAUUUCGAGAUUGCAAUGUGUUCAAAUUUGCAGAAGGAAAGUUUGUUUGAGUUGCAAAGGGAGCAAAAUGAUGUUGGUGAAAACACUUUCCUCAU
rnacentral:rRNA from 1 species